ACGGAAGGCAGCGGUGGGGAAUAUUGCGCAAUGGGGGCAACCCUGACGCAGCAACGCCGCGUGAAGGAAGAAGGUUUUCGGAUUGUAAACUUUUGUCGCAAGGGAAGAAGAAAGUGACGGUACCUUGUGAGAAAGUCACGGCUAACUACGUGCCAGCAGCCGCGGUAAUACGUAGGUGACGAGCGUUGUCCGGAUUUACUGGGUGUAAAGGGCGCGUAGGCGGGUAAUCGAGUCAGAUGUGAAAUACCGGAGCUUAACUCCGGGGCUGCAUUUGAAACUGAAGAUCUUGAGUGUCGGAGAGGAAAGCGGAAUUCCUAGUGUAGCGGUGAAAUGCGUAGAUAUUAGGAGGAACACCGGUGGCGAAGGCGGCUUUCUGGACGAUAACUGACGCUGAGGCGCGAAAGUGUGGGGAGCAAACAGGAUUAGAUACCCUGGUA
rnacentral:rRNA from 1 species